GACAUUGGUCAAUGGGGGAAACGCUGAUACAGCCAUCCCGCGUGUAGGAUGAAGGCGUUCGGGGAGUAAAGAACGUCUUGAAGAGAAGAAAAGGUAUCAACUAAUACGGGAUACUGCUGACGGCAGCUGCAGUAUAUGCACAGGAUAACUACGUGCCAGCGGCCGCGGUAAUACUUAGGGUGCAAGCGUUCAUCGGAAUUACUGGGCGUAAAGCGAGUGUAGGCGGUUCGGAAAUCACGAUGUGAAAUCCCAGGGCUCAACCUAUGAACUGCAUUUUUAACUGCCGAGCUAGAGUAUGGCAGAGGGGGGUAAAAUUCCACGUGUAGCAGUGAAAUGCGUAGACAUGUGGAGGAAUACCGAUGGCGAAGGCAGCCCCCUGGGAUAAUACUGACGCUCAGACACGAAAGCGUGGGGAGCAAACAGG
rnacentral:rRNA from 1 species